rnacentral:rRNA from 1 species
UACGUAGGGGGCAAGCGUUGUCCGGAAUCAUUGGGCGUAAAGCGCGUGUAGGCGGCUCGGUAAGUCCGCUCUGAAAGCCCGGGGCUCAACCCCGGGAGGCGGGUGGAUACUGCUGAGCUCGAGUCCGGAAGAGGAGUGUGGAAUUCCUGGUGUAGCGGUGAAAUGCGCAGAUAUCAGGAAGAACACCUAUGGCGAAGGCAGCUCUCUGGGACGGUACUGACGCUGAGACGCGAAAGCGUGGGGAGCGAACAGG